UUCGAACAAGACAGCUGGAUUGGAUUCUCGGGGAAUACCGCGUUUAGUAAAUCCUCCACUGAUGACACCUCCACUUAUAUACCCGUGAAAAUUUCUUAAAAGCGUGAAUUCAAAAUAUACAAAAGAAAAAAAAAUAUGGCUCAUGAAAACACAUCACAGGGUACAAUAAGAAAACAAAGAUGAAGCAUGUAAAAAGAGAAAUUACCUUUAUUGUUACCCGAGGAUGACGUCACUCCGUAAUUAUUACAAGAACUGACAGAUCCAAAUGUAACGUCCAGAGAUAUGCCAUUCCGAGUCCCGAAAUACGUGAACCGGAUACAGAUGAUGUUUAAGUAUCUAGUUUAGUUUCCUUUUUUGUAUUUUUUUUUCUCCUUAACAACCUACAGCAACAUCAUUAAACUGGUACGCGAUGCUCAAUUACGUCACUGCAAAACACUGGGUCUGUCGCCUUCAACACACACGUGAAUACUUGGAUAGCCGAACACACGUGUUACUUAGCGCAGUCGUCUGGCUUUCGAAACUGUGUUUCUUGGAAACAAUACACGCAAAAGUAAUUCUCAGAAUAUCCAAGUUUCAGGGUGAAUCCCAGUACGUGAUGUUGAUCAGCUGGUGGAUCUAAGGUAGAAGUAGGGGAAUAUGAUUAUCCUGAUCCUUGGAGUAAAUGUAUGCAAGGUUAUCCACGGGAAAUUGAUCGCCUGAAGUUAACCUCUCUGUUUGAUUUCAACGGCAAAACCACCUUCAGGUUGUACGUUUGUCGUGAAUAACUUUAUAUACUUAUACACGUAUUCUACAGAUUGCCAAGGAAUAUUGGCUUUUACACUCGCGAAUGACACCAUUGCGCGAGCAACCGUAAAUCGCGAUGUUUCUUAGAUACUGCAAAGAAUCACUUUCCGUUAGAAAAUGAAGAAUUUUCAAGUUAUAUUUUACAAUCCAGAUUGAACUUACAUAUCCGAUUUAUAAGUAUGCCUCAAUUCUAUUGUUCCAAGUGAGGAUGAUGGCCUUCGUUUUCUUCCGAAUCCAUUGUUGUCAACACUGUAUGUUAUACAGUAACCAUGCUUCUCACCAGUACUUUUUGAGCAUGUUCUUUUUUUUACUACGCGACGGUACGGUUGUGCGUAAACGAAAAAAUGUCUUCGAUAAUCCCAGAUGGCCACUGAAUGUUGUGCACGCACCUUAUUAAAUAGUACAUCCAUUGGUCCUGUCUGGCAGAAUCCAGUUCAGUGCUGAUCGAUACCAAGAAAAAUGGUCGGCAAU